rnacentral:rRNA from 1 species
UACGUAGGGGGCAAGCGUUGUCCGGAUUUAUUGGGCGUAAAGAGCGUGUAGGCGGCCAUACAGGUCAGCUGUGAAAACUCGAGGCUCAACCUCGAGACGUCGGUUGAAACCGUAUGGCUAGAGUCCGGAAGAGGAGAGUGGAAUUCCCGGUGUAGCGGUGAAAUGCGCAGAUAUCGGGAAGAACACCUAUGGCGAAGGCAGCUCUCUGGGACGGUACUGACGCUGAGGAGCGAAAGCGUGGGGAGCAAACAGG